GGGUUUUAGGCUUAAUUUUUAUUAUAUAUGAGUCCAAUAUUGUAUUUAUCAGCUCUUUUUAUUUUUUAUUUUUUAUUCCAAAUUUUUUUAUACUUAUUAAGUAUUUUAAGUUAUUUAGGAGUUUUUGUCAAUAAGAAAGUUUAGUUUAAAACUACUUCUUGUUUAGGUUAAUUAGAGUUCUAAUAUACCUAAGAGUUCUAUUUAGAUUUAUU
rnacentral:lncRNA from 1 species